CUAGAGGGAGUCACACACUGAUAAACUUCUAUGGUAUGUCAUGAUGAAGGCUUGAUGUUUCUCAAUUCAGAAAUGAAACUAGUUCAACAGAUGAGUCUCCUCCCAAUGACUGCAGAGGUGUUUGAUGACAGAGAACUGUUUGAUUCCAGCUGUGAACAUCAGACCAAACUCUACUCACAAAACUGAAUCAUACUGAACAUUCAGUUACAGCAUCUCACCUCUACAAACAUGGAACAACUCACUGUUAUUUUGUUCUUCUCAGCUCUCAUAGGUGUCAGCUGUGAAGAACUCACUCCAGUUAAGAAUGAAGAACACAGUUUAGAAGACAGCACCGUCACUCUGUCAUACAGUUACUACAAACAAGCUGAUGGCAAUGAUUAUUUCUUCUGGUAUCAACAAUAUCCAGGAAAACAACCACAGUUCAUCAUGUUCAUCUCAGGGUUGAACAUCACAAAAACAGCAGAACCUCUGAAAUCAGAGAAAAGGUUUUUGACACGACUCUCUGAAAAAAAGGAUCGUGUGGAUCUACAGAUCUCCUCUGCUGCACUGACUGACUCUGCUGUGUACUACUGUGCUCUGAGGCCCACAGUGACAGGAAACACCACAACUCUGUACAAAAACCUCUGGAGAGAAGACAACACAAUACUCCACAACAUCCACUAGAGGGAGCAUCAGACCGAAACAACUCAGCACCAACUCAUACUAGUUCUUCCUUUACAGCACCUCACCUCUGUAAAUGUGGGAGAACUCACAAUGGCCUCCAGUUAAAAACAAGUUCAAGUUCUAAAUAAGGUGUUCCUCUGGCCCCGCCCACUGAGACCAAGGGCCCGUUUCAGAAAGAAGGUUCAACAAACUCUAACUCUGAGCUCUGAGUUGAUUUACCCUCAGGUGGGAAACUCUGAGUUUUGGGUUCCAGAUCAGCUGAUUUGAGUUAAAUCAACUCUGAGUAGGUUCACUCGGUGUUCAGCGCGUGCACCACUACUAUGAAAAGCCAACAUUAAUGGAGCCAUGGCAACAGGUGAGAAAAAAGAGAUCCUCUUACUUUAACCAUCUGGAAAUAUAACCUACUACAUCUUCAUGCAGACACACUACAAAUAUAAACAGGUUUUAAGAAAGAAAGAAAAAGUAACACUGCUGCAGCAGCACAGGAGAGAAAGAAGUGGUGAAGGAGAAAACUGCUGCUCGCAUCAGCAUGUAAUGAAGUCUAUUCAUCUAAUAUUUAAUCAGAAUAAUAGUUCUGCAGGUAAAAACCGGUGUAAUGGUGUUUAAACUAACAUUUAGUGACAUAAAGAUGCAAUUAAUCAGGAGAAAAGCGACUUUAAAAUAGCUCAAAGUGAAAUAGGCUAUAAGAACAAACUAGGCUCAUGGUGGUAGCCAACCUUAUUUUAAUCAUAUUUGACAAAGUAAACUUAGCCUAAUUCAUUUGAAAGUGCAUUAUCAAAUGUUCUUUUUAUACGCUAUAGCCUUCCUAACAUAUCACAUUAAAACAACCUGGAUUUUUAUUCAGACAAAACGGUGAAUCUUCACUAAUACGCACGUGAUACGGACUGAAUGAAAGAAUGAGGAAAACCCAGUUUCCCUCAUGUCAUGGUUAACUGACUCAGUGUUUGUUAAAAACCUGCUUACUGAAACAGGCCCCAGGAUUAAAGUAUUUCAGAAUAUCCAAACAAUUCUUGACAUAAAUAUAAAAUAUCUGAACAGUAUGUCUGAUAUGUUGCUUUUUCAUAUUAAUUCUUUAGGGCAAUUCAUCGAUAGUUUGGUAUCAAAUUUCUGAAUAAAUGAUCCCUGUAAACAUCUAGAAACACAUGAUUGAUUACUGUGUACCACAUGGUUCAACCCUGUGUCCUCAUUUCUUCUUUAUGUGUUGACUUUGAUAUUUUAAAAAUGAUUUGAUCUAUUUUCAUUUGUGUAAUAAUAGUAAGAAUGGAUUAUAUAUAAAUUCAUUAACAUGUGCAUCAGGUUCAGAACAUUUUAAAUGUGUUCCAGUAUGCAGUUCAGAGACGCGUUCCAGGAUGUCACUUCUAGAAUUUCUGCACUACAUUUUUACAAUUCCUCCAGGGGGAGACAUUAUUGAGCAGGUAAUGAACUACUGUGUUCAAACAUUAUAUUAAUACCAGCUGCUGCUGUAAAGAGAACACUUCAACACAGUGAACAUUGAACAUCAGAGAGUUCCUCCUGUUGGUUUAAACCUGGUUUUAGAAAUGGAAAUUUGGCUUUGGAUUAUUCUGGCUGCUCUUUUCUUUGGACUAACAGCUGGAGACAAAAUCUCUCCUACAGUCGAUGAAGUCAGUGGAACAGAAGGAGAAUCUGUCACACUCAGAUGUAACUAUGAGACAACAUCAGAUUAUGUUGAUCUCUACUGGUACAGACAUCAUUCUGACCUCCAGGCACCUCAGUUUAUACUCUGGAAAGGAGCAAAAAGAAGGAGCAAUAACAAAUACAUUCCAGAUAAACGAUAUGAAUCUCAAACAUCACACAGCUCAACUGAACUGACCAUUAGAAAGCUAACCCCUGAAGACACAGCUCUCUACUACUGUGCUUUAGAAACACAGUGAUACAAAGUGUAGAAGAGGCUGUACAAAAACCUGAACACAGAUAUCUGACUACUCUUCAAAGAGGAGGGAAGUGGGAUUCAAACCACAGCUUCAUGUCAGAUGGAUUGUGAUGAUUCCUGUUUGAUCAGAGUCUCUGUGGUUACAGCUGCUGAUGAGAC